rnacentral:rRNA from 1 species
GACGAGGGAUCCUAGCGUUGUUCGGAAUCAUUGGGCGUAAAGCGGGUGCAUGUGGCUUUGUAAGUCAGGUGUGAAAUCCCAGGGCUUAACCCUGGAAGUGCAUUUGAUACUGCGAAGCUUGAGUGCUGGAGAGGUAAGUAGAAUUCCUGGUGUAGUGGUGAAAUACGUAGAUAUCAGGAGGAAUACCGGAGGCGAAGGCGGCUUACUGGCCAGACACUGACACUCAGACCCGAAAGCGUGGGGAUCAAACAGG